CGUAGGGUCCAAGCGUUAUCCGGAAUCACUGGGCGUAAAGCGUGCGUAGGCGGUUUGUUAAGUGAGAUGUUAAAACGUGGGGCUCAACCCUGUCGGUGCAUCUCAUACUGGCAGACUAGAGGACGGCAGAGGCAAGUGGAAUUGGUAGUGUAGCAGUGAAAUGCGUAGAUAUUACCAGGAACACCAAUGGCGAAGGCAGCUUGCUGGGCCGACCCUGACGCUGAGGUACGAAAGCGUGGGGAGCGAACAGGAUUAGAUACCCUGGUAGUCCACGCCGUAAACGAUGCAUACUAGACGUAUGGGGUAUCGACCCCCUGUGCGUCGCAGCUAACGCGAUAAGUAUGCCGCCUGGGAAGUACGGCCGCAAGGCUA
rnacentral:rRNA from 1 species